UUUGGGCUCACUAAUUGUUGGGCCUAACUUUUUAAAGUUAAAUAAAUCGGUUAUUAAUCGGGUUAACGGCGCCUAAUGUGAUUAAGCGGCCGAUUACUAAACCGGCGAUUUUUUUUACCGAAUUGGCCUUAAUCGAAACGCUAGGCUUGCGAGUAGCGUUUACGCGGGCGCGUUUGCGGCUACGCGGACGCGUUUUAGAACAAGGUAUAUAUCCUUUCUUACUGUUAUUAUUACUUAAGAGAUGCUUCAAAUAAUAUGUAUAAAUGAACACAUAGUCAUUGGCAGGGACGAGUACAUCAAAUAUGUUGAGGCACAAAAGAGUAAUGGACUAUAUAUGCAUGUUUUCAUGAUCGGAGCUUCUAUCCUUGUAAUUUGUACUAGUGCUAACAUUAUUUUAUAGUUUGGAUAGAUGUUUAAGUGUUCAUGUAUGGAAAUCAUUCGUAGUAUGUUCAUGAACAAUCGUGUCUCGUAAUGCUAACUGGCCUAUAUUAAAAGUUAUAACUUUUUUGCCGGGAUACCAUUCGCUAAACCAUUGACCGUGGAAAGAAAUCUAUAUAUAUUUGGUGGUGCUCUUCCAGUUUCG
rnacentral:lncRNA from 1 species